rnacentral:rRNA from 1 species
AUUGAACGCUGGCGGCAUGCUUUACACAUGCAAGUCGAACGGCAGGCACAGGGAGCUUGCUCCCGGGUGGCGAGUGGCGCACGGGUGAGUAAUACAUCGGAACGUGUCCUGUUGUGGGGGAUAACUCCGGGAAACCGGGGCUAAUACCGGAUAACACCUCGGAUCGCAUGAUCCGAAGUUGAAAGAUGGUUCUGCUAUCACUUACAGAUGGACCCGCGGCGCAUUAGCUAGUUGGUGAGGUAGUGGCUCACCAAGGCAACGAUGCGUAGCCGACCUGAGAGGGUGAUCGGCCACACUGGGACUGAGACACGGCCCAG